GUCUCUUUGAUUAUAUUAUAUAAGGAGUCUAACCUGCCCAGUGAUUAAUUUUUAACGGCCGCAGUACUUUGACUGUGCGAAGGUAGCGUAAUUAUUUGCCUUAUAAUUGAAGGCUUGUAUGAAUGGUUUGACGAAAAUAGUUCUGUCUUAAUUUAAUUUUUUAGAAUUUAACUUUUAAGUGAAGAGGCUUAAAUUUUAUUGAUAGACAAGAAGACCCUGUCGAGCUUAAAUUUUAAUAAUAAAUAUUAAUACUUAUAUUAUUUUUUGAUUUUAGUUGGGGUGACUGAGGAAUAAUAUGAGUUUCCUUAAUUUUAUAAAAUUGAUUUUGAUCCAUAUUUAUGAUGAUUAUUAGAAUUAGUUACCGCAGGGAUAACAGCAUAAUCUUUUUUGAGAGUUCAUAUCGAAAAAUUGGUUUGUGACCUCGAUGUUGGAUUAAAGUUUCCUAUGGGUGUAGAUGCUUUUAAGGGUUAGUCUGUUCGACUAUUAAAACUUU
rnacentral:rRNA from 1 species